GACGAACGCUGGCGGCGUGCUUAACACAUGCAAGUCGAACGGAAAGGCCCUGCUUUUGUGGGGUGCUCGAGUGGCGAACGGGUGAGUAACACGUGAGUAACCUGCCCUUGACUUUGGGAUAACUUCAGGAAACUGGGGCUAAUACCGGAUAGGAGCUCCUGCUGCUUGGUGGGGGUUGGAAAGUUUCGGCGGUUGGGGAUGGACUCGCGGCUCAGCAGCUUGUCGGUGGGGUAGUGGCUUACCAAGGCUUUGACGGGUGGCCGGCCUGAGAGGGUGACCGGCCACAUUGGGACUGGGAUACGACCCAGACGCCUACGGGAGGCAGCGGUGGGGAAUUUUGCACAAUGGGCGGAAGCCUGAUGCAGCAACGCCGCGUGCUGGAUGACGGCCUUCGGGUUGUAAACCGCUUUCGCCUGUGACGAAGCGUGAGUGACGGUAAUGUGUAAAGAAGCACCGGCUAACUACGUG
rnacentral:rRNA from 1 species